AACAAAAAGGCAAUCAACUCUAUACAAAUGCUCAUCUGUUGGGAGAUAUGGAACCAAAGGAAUGCUUGGGUUUUCCGCAACAAGGCCUCCAUGCCCACUCAGGUGGCGGCAACAAUCAUGGAUGAGGCAAAGACUUGGCUAGUUGCUGAGGCUUGACUUUUGGGUAACAUUUUACCGGAAAAGUGA
rnacentral:rRNA from 1 species